AGAGUUUGAUCCUGGCUCAGGACGAACGCUGGCGGCGUGCUUAACACAUGCAAGUCGAACGAUGAACCACUUCGGUGGGGAUUAGUGGCGAACGGGUGAGUAACACGUGGGCAAUCUGCCCUUCACUCUGGGACAAGCCCUGGAAACGGGGUCUAAUACCGGAUACGACACUCUCGGGCAUCCGAUGAGUGUGGAAAGCUCCGGCGGUGAAGGAUGAGCCCGCGGCCUAUCAGCUUGUUGGUGAGGUAACGGCUCACCAAGGCGACGACGGGUAGCCGGCCUGAGAGGGCGACCGGCCACACUGGGACUGAGACACGGCCCAGACUCCUACGGGAGGCAGCAGUGGGGAAUAUUGCACAAUGGGCGAAAGCCUGAUGCAGCGACGCCGCGUGAGGGAUGACGGCCUUCGGGUUGUAAACCUCUUUCAGCAGGGAAGAAGCGAAAGUGACGGUACCUGCAGAAGAAGCGCCGGCUAACUACGUGCCAGCAGCCGCGGUAAUACGUAGGGCGCGAGCGUUGUCCGGAAUUAUUGGGCGUAAAGAGCUCGUAGGCGGUCUGUCGCGUCGGAUGUGAAAGCCCGGGGCUUAACCCCGGGUCUGCAUUCGAUACGGGCAGACUAGAGUGUGGUAGGGGAGAUCGGAAUUCCUGGUGUAGCGGUGAAAUGCGCAGAUAUCAGGAGGAACACCGGUGGCGAAGGCGGAUCUCUGGGCCAUUACUGACGCUGAGGAGCGAAAGCGUGGGGAGCGAACAGGAUUAGAUACCCUGGUAGUCCACGCCGUAAACGGUGGGAACUAGGUGUUGGCGACAUUCCACGUCGUCGGUGCCGCAGCUAACGCAUAAG
rnacentral:rRNA from 1 species